rnacentral:rRNA from 1 species
CAGUAGCCGCGGUAAUACCGAGGGUGCGAGCGUUAAUCGGAUUUACUGGGCGUAAAGCGUGCGUAGGCGGCUUCUUAAGUCGGAUGUGAAAUCCCUGAGCUUAACUUAGGAAUUGCAUUCGAUACUGGGAAGCUAGAGUAUGGGAGAGGAUGGUAGAAUUCCAGGUGUAGUGGUGAAAUGCGUAGAGAUCUGGAGGAAUACCGAUGGCGAAGGCAGCCAUCUGGCCUAAUACUGACGCUGAGGUACGAAAGCAUGGGGAGCAAACAGGAUUAGAUACCCCAGUAGUCCCUGUCUCUUAUAC